UAGGGAAUCUUCCACAAUGGACGCAAGUCUGAUGGAGCAACGCCGCGUGAGUGAAGAAGGUUUUCGGAUCGUAAAGCUCUGUUGUUGGUGAAGAAGGAUAGAGGUAGUAACUGGCCUUUAUUUGACGGUAAUCAACCAGAAAGUCACGGCUAACUACGUGCCAGCAGCCGCGGUAAUACGUAGGUGGCAAGCGUUGUCCGGAUUUAUUGGGCGUAAAGCGAGCGCAGGCGGAAGAAUAAGUCUGAUGUGAAAGACCUCGGCUUAACCGAGGAACUGCAUCGGAAACUGUUUUUCUUGAGUGCAGAAGAGGAGAGUGGAAUUCCAUGUGUAGCGAUGGAAUGCGUAGAUAUAUGGAAGAACACCAGUGGCGAAGGCGACUCUCUGGUCUGCAACUGACGCUGAGGCUCGAAAGCAUGGGUAGCGAACAGG
rnacentral:rRNA from 1 species